rnacentral:rRNA from 1 species
UACAGAGGGUGCGAGCGUUAAUCGGAGUUACUGGGCGUAAAGGGCGCGUAGGCGGCCAUCUAAGUCAGACGUGAAAUCCCCCGGCUUAACCUGGGAACUGCGUCUGAUACUGGAAGGCUUGAGUAUGGGAGAGGGAUGUAGAAUUCCAGGUGUAGCGGUGAAAUGCGUAGAUAUCUGGAGGAAUACCGGUGGCGAAGGCGGCAUCCUGGACCAUUACUGACGCUGAGGCGCGAAAGCUAGGGGAGCAAACGGG